CGUAGGUGAACCUGCGGAAGGAUCAUUAUCGAACACACGAAGGGAACUGUCGCUGGCUUCGGCAUGUGCACNUUCUUUUCUCUCACUCACACUUGUGCACCAUCUGUAGGCCCCUCGAAAGAGGACCUAUGUUUUCCAUUCACACCGAUCGCAUGUCCAUAGAAUGUCAUAAUGAAAUACAACUUUCAGCAACGGAUCUCUUGGCUCUCGCAUCGAUGAAGAACGCAGCGAAUUGCGAUAAGUAAUGUGAAUUGCAGAUUUCCAGUGAAUCAUCGAAUCUUUGAACGCACCUUGCGCUCCUUGGCAUUCCGAGGAGCAUGCCUGUUUGAGUGUCAUUGAAUUCUCAACCAUGUCUUGGAGACAUUACAUGGCUUGGAUGUUGGGGGGGUUUGCUGGCAUUCCCAAGAUUGUCAGCUCUCCUGAAAUGCAUUAGCAAAAUGGCAGACAUACACGGCCUUCCGACGUGAUAAUGAUCGUCGUGGCUGGAGUGUCAGACGCCCAUGUUGCUUCCAAUCGAGCGUGUUUAGCUACUAGUCGGUCGUGAGGCUGGCGAACGCGGCAUGACGUUGACAACUUGACCUCAAAUCAGGUAGGACUACCCGCUGAACUUAAGCAUAUCAAUAAGCGGAGGAAAAGAAACUAACAAGGAUUCCCCUAGUAACUGCGAGUGAAGCGGGAAGAGCUCAAAUUUUGAAUCUGGCGGUCUUCGGCCGUCCGAG
rnacentral:rRNA from 1 species